UUCCCUUGCCUUUACAGACAUGUCUUGAAAGAAGUUGCUGUGGCUGAUGUCAAAGAGGUGACUGCCUCUGUUCUCCUCUAGGAUUUUGAUGGACUCCUGUCUCACAUUGAGGUCUUUUAUCCAUUUUGAGUUUAUCUUUGUCCAUGAUGUUAGAGAAUGGUCGAGUUUCAAUCUUCUGCAUGUGGCUGUCCAAUUUUCCCAGCACCAUUUAUUGGAGAGACUGUCUUUUUUCCAUUGGACAUUCAUUCCUGAUCUGUCAAAGAUUGGUGGACCAUAGAGUUGAGGGUCCAUUUCUGGGGUCUUUAUUCUGUUCCAUUGAUCUAUGUGUUUUUGUGCCAAUACCAUCCCGUCACAGAUUUGCAAUAUAGAUUGACGUCAGGCAUUGUGAUGCCCCCAGGUUUGGUUUUCUUUUGCAACAUUUCCCUGGUUAUGUAUCCUUGGCUGCAUGUUCUCAUUUAGUACUGUGAAUAUGUCUUUCCAGCUCUUUUUCACCUGCAAAGUCCCUUUGGACAGGUCUGACGUUAUUCUGAUGUUCCUCCCUCCGUACAUAAGAAAUCUGUUCCCCCUGGCUGCUUUCUGGAUUGCUUCCUUGGUUCUAAGAUUUGCAAGUUUUCCAUUUUUAAUUCUAAUAGUGUAUUUAUAGAAUACUUUGGAUUUUCUAUGUACACCAUCAUAUUAUCUGUAAAUAGUCACAAUGUUCUCCUCGCUUCUUAUUCUUUUUGUUUCUCUUGGCUUAUAACACUUGGGAGAUUCUCCAAUGGAAUGUUGACCAGAGUAGCAUUGCUUGAAGAUUUUAAUAUACCUUUCUCAAUAUCUGAUAGAAAAAGCAGACAAAACAUUGGUAAGACAUGUGACCUAAUUGACAUAUAUGGAACAUUACAGAGUAAGUGCAGAAUACAUUAUUUUCAAGUGGUGCUAGAAUAUUUAUCCAAAUAGACGAUAUGUUGGGCCAUGAAUCAAGUCUACACAUUUUAAAAGCCUGAAAUUAACUAGGUUAUAUUCUUAGACUACAGGGAAUCGAGCCAUAGUCAUAAUGAAAAGAAAAGCAGGAAGUCCCUCAAUGCUUAAAACUUAAAUGUAAAUUUGCUACAUAUCCUAAGGGUCAGAGAGGGAAUCACAAUGGAAAGUCUCGAUCUUUCCUACAUCAGAGCUCACAGACAAUGGCAUUCUAUCCGUGAAGAGCACUAUAAAUAAGGUAGACAGGAGUUGAGCCUUAAGUCCGAGUUCUGCCUGCCUCAGCCACACCUGGCAGCCUUGGCAUGUGGUCGCCCCCAGCUGCCCUUUCUGGUAGCCCUGAGCUAAGGGGGACAACAUAGCCAUAUGGAAAUGGGAAGCUCCCCACUCCUAGUGAUGAUGGUGCUAUUGUAUUGUCCUCACCAGUCCAACAAGAUGAUUUCUGAGUGAAACAUGACACAAUAGCAGCUUCUUGACCUUCCUUAAGGUUUGAAAAUCAUCUUGUGAGUCAUCUAUCAGAAAUAUGGUUUCAACAUGUGUCCUUUUUUCUGGAAAAGAAAUAGAUCCAAAUAGUAAUUAUGGUUUCUGAGCACCUGCCCUUGAGCUCCAUCACACUGCUCUUUGUGGAAUUCUCCCUCUUAAACUUCUAAACUAUGAUGUAGGUAUUUUUAGUCACAUUUUCUAGAUGGUUAGACGGGGGCUCAGAGACGAUACGAGUCACGGAGGAUUUUAGUGUCAGAGACCUAAGUGGGAUCUCCAAACUGACUCCAAAUCCCUUGUUAUUCCAUACACGGAACUCUUUCCCUGUUAUCUCUGGUCUUCUCCAUCUGGAAACAUAUCAAGUACCAGGAUUUUCUUGUUGUGUGGCCAACUGGAAUGAAUUCAGCCGGCCUUUUAAACUAUGCCCAUCAUGAUCAGUGGAGGACCUUUGAGUAAGAUACUCCAAGAUCUCUAGGAAUAGAGACAUUAUAAUCUGCUUGAGAUCUUCAAGUUACUGAAAGAACUAUCUUUUUUUUAAUUGAUUCAGGCUCUAGUAUGUUCAGAGUGUGCUGUAAGACAGGUCUGAAAUAGUAUUUAAAAACACUCAGCUCAGCCUCUUCUACAAAGUGAGACAGUGCUUAUAAACAUUGCUAAAAUAGUCCCUUAGCUAUGAUUACUUACUUCCCAACCAUCGUAGUGUUUAUAUGGUAUGACUAUGACUUAACAUUAGUCAAAAUCUGCAAGGAAAGAACUGAGACAGUGUAUGCAAGCUUUAGGGGCACUUCAUGUUUCCAUUAGUGUUGUGAAAAUGAGCUACUCUUUUUUAUUCUAUAGUCCAAGGGAAUGGUGCCAGACAUCACUGAGAUGUCUAGGAGUUCUAAAAUUCUGACUUUAAAUUAUCUGUGUGCUUCAGAGAUUUGGGCAGGAGAAGGGGAGGAGCCCAGCAUCUGUGAACACCUGUUACCUGUGUUGACCGUGGGACAGGUGAACUUCUCUAGGCAUCAUUUUGAUUUUUUGGCACUAUUGUUAAAGGUACUUUUGUCUCAAGUUCCUCCCUUUAGUAGCAAUUCUAAUGAUAAUGGAAAUUUUUAUCUUUUACCAUCCGUGGGCCUGGAUCCUGGGCUCCCAGAGAAGCUAUCCUUUAACAUUUUACCGAGGUCAAAAUGACUGGGCCAAGCCUCAGAGUAUGGGUCCUAUUUCUGUCCCAAGCACAUAUUGUACAUCUGGUUUGAGAAGAAAAAGAUAACCCCAAAAUGCCAUUGCAAACAUAAAGAUAAGAAAAACAAAAGAACCUCUCUGGCUUCCAUAAGAUUAGAGUCAUACCAACUUGUACAAACUGAAAACAUAAGAGAAAGUCUGUCACUUUCUUGAAUGUUCUUCCUCAUGAUGAUAUGUAAAUCUGUAUGUAAAUCAACACAGAACAAAUAUAUAAACCUGCCUCAAAUGUUCCUUCCCCGGAGCACUCCCUUUUUUGUGAAGAUUGUGUCUCCCAGGCAGCUGUCCUGACUUGGGUUUGAAUAAAACUCUCUUCCUUUUUCUCUAAAGUGUUUAAAAGGGUUUGUUCAUUCAGUGUCGAGAAUAACAAUAUGUUUUCUUUUUAAGUGAAAAAUAAAUGUUCCUCGUUCACAACUCCAACAGCAGAGAAGGGCGGCUGUUCUUCAUCCUGGAGCUUCCCUGCAGAACCAAGCAUAUGUAUAUAUAUUCCAGCAUAAACGGGCUCAUCCUACAAGGAUGCUUUGAAGGUCCAAGAAGCACUAUCCAGUCCAUGGAAACCGAAGCAGGUGUGCUUGCCAUAGGUCGGAGGUCCUACUUAUCCCCACCUGACAGCACUUCUCCCCUCUGGCUCCAUGAGACCCGAAGUUUUGAACAUCAGCAUGUGAGUCAGUGAUGCUGCUUGUCACAGGACGUCAGCAUUCAGAGAGAGCAGCAGGUCCAUUUGGCACAAUGUCAUCUUCAAGUCAGGACUGGAGUUUCUUUGGUGGUGGAGUCAGAAGGAGAGUGUUUGGGAAUUCUGGAUGGAGGCAUGCUGGUGUCAGGAGCACUGGGCUGAGUUCUGGAACUGCUUGCCUGAGCCUAGGUGCGUCAGGUUAUCCCACAGAGCUUCCGUUGACUCCUUAUGAAAUUGCUGGAAGGAGCAGGAUCUGUGGACUCCAGGGGUGAUGUGAGAAACCUCAGAAGCUUCCCUUGUCCGUGUUUCCCUCGUCUGUCCCGGUGCUCCAUUCCUUCCUAAGGCCUUGUCACCCGGACCAGAGCAGUGAAUCUGGAACCUCUUCCAAAUGGAGACCCGGAGGCUGCAACAAGGAGGGUCUUGGCCUUGGUCCCCAGACUAGUGGUCAGUGCUCUGCCAUGUUCUGCGUACCCAGGUCCUCAGCCCCCCAAGUCCCCAGUCUGUCCCCUGCUCAGAAGGACCUCGAGGGAGUACAAAGCAUUUUCCCAGGACUGGGAGCACAGUGGGUCGGGGAUGGAGAUCCAAGGCCAAUAGGCUCUUCCACAAGCCUGUGGGACCCUAGGGACACUGCAUCUCUAAGCCCAAGUGACAGAAGAGUAAGCUGAGGCCUUUGUGCUGUAGCCCCUCUGGACUUGGGGGUGGGUAUCUCUUCCUGCUUCCAAGUGCCCAGGCUGGUGAUGGACACCGGAACCCAGACCCUGUCCUCUCCCAGUGCCCUGGCAACCCUUCGGGGUCCCUUGGGGACCCCUGACCCUCAGCCUGGCCUGUCUCCCCUCCCCAUGCUAUGGAUCUGGGUCCUUGCCAGGAGUCCUGAUGCCCUGCCCCAUGGCCCAGCUGUCUGCAACCUGUUUCUUCUUUCCCCCCUGUCACCCACCUCGCUCCCAGGGUGUCCUCCCCUUCUGACCCCCAGCUGGGCAGUCAGAGUGGUGUGUGUGUGGGUGUGGGUGUGUGUGUGGGGGUGUGUGUGCAGCUGCACGUGCCUCUACGUGCCUGGGGAUGCCAAGGUCAUGUCCCCACAUGGAACGGGGUGGGUAGCUCUUCCCGAGGAUCUGAGUGGCUCUCACCCCCAAAGCAAACCUCAUGGGAGGGUUGGGACUGGCCUAGGACUGGAGAGCAGCUCCUUGGACUCUGCACCCCUCAGUUGUCCUGGGCCAGUCCCUGCCUCUCUUGACCCAGGUUCCCAACUGUCCCUGAGGGUCGGACAUGGAAAGGCUUGAACGUGGCUGCUCCUCCAGGGGUAGGUGGGGGACAGGUGCACCAGGCACGCAGGCCUCCCCACCGAGAGGGCCAGCCAGGUGUGUCAUGGCCAGGUGUGCACAGACGACCUGCCCACAGCUCCUGUACCAUGACCCAGCCCUGCGGCAGAUGUGCACGAGACCCAUGGCUCCGCACCUGACCGGUCCCCCGCAUUCCCUCACCACCUCGGAGACAAGGGCUCUUCUUCGUCCUAGGGCCCGUCAUCCUUUGGACAAUGAGAGCAGAGGGAUCCGUAUCUAGAGGAGGCCGGCAGGGCGUCCCACGGAGUGUCGUGUGCCCAUCUCUGCUUUGUCGUCUAGGCUUAGCGGCGGACCCCCACCUAGAAAGAGGCCCACGGGGCAGGGACAUUUGUCUGCCUUGUUCCCUGAAUUAUGGAAAAUGUCUAGAAGGGGCUUCCUGUCCAUGUGUGGAGUCGAUGAAGCCCAGCCAGCACCUUUCAGAUGUCUGAGUGGCUCUGGGGCCCCUCUGCCAGCCCCCAGGGAUCCCUGCUCUGGCUCCACCCAGGAUGGGAGCCCCAGAUGGAAUCUGAAACCUCCUCACAGCCAGGAAUGCGGCUUUGCCCUGGACACAGGACACCGAGGCUUGGGGCAGAGAGCUCCUUCACGGUGGAGAGGAACCGCCUCAGCCCCAGGCCACCCUCCCCGUGGGCCGGCCACAGGGUCGGGGAGCGGUCCCAACAGGCCCGACGGCAACCCCGUGUGUGGGGCCUGGCCUCGUGGCACGCAGGGUCCCCAGGAGACACCUGAGGUUCAGAGAGGGGACGUGCCAGGCCCGAGACACACAGCCCGCAGGCUGAUGGGGUUGAGGCAGCAGCGCCCACCUGCUGCAUGGAGAGCAGCAGCGAGGAGCCGUGGUUGCAGACCCCGAGACACGGCGCUCGUGUGAGUCCGAGGCUGCCACAGAUGUGAUGGAGGCUGAGGAGGGGGAGGUGCUGACAGAGGCUGAGAUGAUGCCUGAGGUCUGCAGCGACGACUGGGAGGUCAACUCCGGAACUUGAGGAACGGCAAGGCCAGCAGAAACACCAGACUGUAUUUACCAAAAUUGACAAAGAGACAAAAAUGGAACCACUUUAUACCAACCAAUUGGCUCCCUGAGAUGAAGCAGAUCAUUCUGAGAAGCACACA